AGAAAUUACACAGGAGACAAAUCGACUCAAUAGUCCAUAUUGAGAAUGAAGACCAUUAUAGGUCUGCAGCUGACAUGGUUGUGGUACUGCCCGUCUGGGGCACUGGGCCAGUCAGACAGUGAACAUGAAGGUGGAGUGGUUGUCAAUAAGCAACAGCUUGACAAAGCUAACACACCAUCCGCCUUCCACACCAUGCUGAUAGAGAUGAAGUUAGAGCAGAAAGUUGAGCUUGCUCAAAUCAAGACCAAGCUGGAAUCAAUGGAGACCAGACUGAGUGCCAGUAAGGUCCAGGAAGAGGAGCUGAGCACCAGACUGAGAAAUACAGAAAACCAGCUUGAUGAAUGAAGGAAAAUUAAUCAAGAAAGACCAAGAGUGGCAUUCUCAGCUGCACUGACAGAUAGUUCCGGAAGAAACAAAGGACCGUUCAACACAGAAACUACUUUGGUCUACGGGAAGGUCAUCACCAAUAUUGGCAACGCCUACAACCCCACAACCGGUAUGUUCACAGCAACAGUGAGAGGACUCUACCACUUCACCUUCUAUUGCCAUACAUAUGGAGCCAAUAAAGCAUUUCUGUUAAUGUAUAAGAACGGAGACAUAGUUGUUGGUACGGCAGAUCACAUAACAUCUAGUGAUGGUGCAGAUAAUGGAUCUAACGGGGCGGUACUGAUGCUUGAGGAGGGAGAUCAGGUUUAUGUGCGCCUUGAAGCCAACUCAUGGAUCUGGGUCGAAAAUUACCGCAACCUCAGCACCUUCACUGGCAUUCUGCUAUUUGCCCAGUGACACCUCAGAACACGUGAAUAAGGAGAGAUUUGAAAUAAUGAAAAAAUGGCUUAAUGUAUUGUAGAGGGCAUCACUGGUGUAAAUAACGACAAUGCUGUUUAUCACACUCUUAAGCGAAAAAAUGUAAUCGAGUUAAUCACAAAUUCAGAAUUUGCUCAAAUUCAGCUGUAAUUGAAGAUUUUUUUGACAAACUUUAUAUUGAUUAUAUAGUGGCCAGUAGUGGUCUAAUGAAAAACAAACCAUUCAGCAGUAACAGAUAAAGCCUAUUUGACCUAGAUAGUUUCUGUGUAUGCAUUGUUCUGUCCUUGAGCUUUUCUUGUCAAUUGAUGUUCUGUAUUAUGUCAUGUUUUGUGUGGACCCCAGAAAGAGUAGCUGCUGCUUUUACAACAGCUAAUGGGGAUCCUUCAUAAAAUCCCCCUCCCCACCGAAAAAUACCAAAGCAUUACAGAUUUAACACUGUACUGAUAUUAACCAAUUAUUAAAACGUUUGUUAACCAUUAGUAAAUGUUGUUAAGCAUUGUACUGUAUAUUAAUAAAGUUGAUUUCACCCUCAAC